CUUCCGGCCGACGAGGUACAUGUACCUCAUCGACUGGAAGGAAACCCUUCCAAUCAGUGAUGUACCUCGCCGGCAGGAAGGAAAUCUUUCUGGUUGGCAAGGUACAUGUACCUUGUUGACUGGAAG
rnacentral:miRNA from 1 species